GACGAACGCUGGCGGCGUGCCUAAUACAUGCAAGUAGAACGCUGAAGGAGGAGCUUGCUUCUCUGGAUGAGUUGCGAACGGGUGAGUAACGCGUAGGUAACCUGCCUGGUAGUGGGGGAUAACUAUUGGAAACGAUAGCUAAUACCGCAUAAUAGCAGUUGUUGCAUGAUAACUGUUUGAAAGGUGCAAUUGCACCGCUACCAGAUGGACCUGCGUUGUAUUAGCUAGUUGGUGGGGUAACGGCUCACCAAGGCGACGAUACAUAGCCGACCUGAGAGGGUGAUCGGCCACACUGGGACUGGGACACGGCCCAGACUCCUACGGGAGGCAGCAGUAGGGAAUCUUCGGCAAUGGACGGAAGUCUGACCGAGCAACGCCGCGUGAGUGAAGAAGGUUUUCGGAUCGUAAAGCUCUGUUGUAAGAGAAGAACGAGUGUGAGAGUGGAAAGUUCACACUGUGACGGUAUCUGACCAGAAAGGGACGGCUAACUACGUG
rnacentral:rRNA from 1 species